rnacentral:rRNA from 1 species
GGGUUGUGAGGUUAAGCGACUAAGCGUACACGGUGGAUGCCCUGGCAGUCAGAGGCGAUGAAGGACGUGCUAAUCUGCGAAAAGCGUCGGUAAGGUGAUAUGAACCGUUAUAGCCGGCGAUGUCCGAAUGGGGAAACCCAGUGCAAUUCGUUGCACUAUCGUUAACUGAAUACAUAGGUUAACGAGGCGAACCGGGGGAACUGAAACAUCUAAGUACCCCGAGGAAAAGAAAUCAACCGAGAUUCCCCCAGUAGCGGCGAGCGAACGGGGAGCAGCCCAGAGUCUGAAUCAGCUUGUGUGUUAGUGGAACGGUCUGGAAAGUCCGACGGUACAGGGUGAUAGUCCCGUACACCAAAAUGCACAGGUUGUGAACUCGAAGAGUAGGGCGGGACACGUGGUAUCCUGUCUGAAUAUGGGGGGACCAUCCUCCAAGGCUAAAUACUCCUGACUGACCGAUAGUGAACCAGUACCGUGAGGGAAAGGCGAAAAGAACCCCGGCGAGGGGAGUGAAAAAGAACCUGAAACCGUGUACGUACAAGCAGUGGGAGCACCUUCGGGUGUGACUGCGUACCUUUUGUAUAAUGGGUCAGCGACUUAUAUUCUGUAGCAAGGUUAACCGUAUAGGGGAGCCGCAGGGAAACCGAGUCUUAACUGGGCGUUAAGUUGCAGGGUAUAGACCCGAAACCCGGUGAUCUAGCCAUGGGCAGGUUGAAGGUUGGGUAACACUAACUGGAGGACCGAACCGACUAAUGUUGAAAAAUUAGCGGAUGACUUGUGGCUGGGGGUGAAAGGCCAAUCAAACCGGGAGAUAGCUGGUUCUCCCCGAAAGCUAUUUAGGUAGCGCCUCGUGAACUCAUCUUCGGGGGUAGAGCACUGUUUCGGCUAGGGGGUCAUCCCGACUUACCAACCCGAUGCAAACUACGAAUACCGAAGAAUGUUAUCACGGGAGACACACGGCGGGUGCUAACGUCCGUCGUGAAGAGGGAAACAACCCAGACCGCCAGCUAAGGUCCCAAAGUCAUGGUUAAGUGGGAAACGAUGUGGGAAGGCACAGACAGCCAGGAUGUUGGCUUAGAAGCAGCCAUCAUUUAAAGAAAGCGUAAUAGCUCACUGGUCGAGUCGGCCUGCGCGGAAGAUGUAACGGGGCUAAACCAUGCACCGAAGCUGCGGCAGCGACACUAUGUGUUGUUGGGUAGGGGAGCGUUCUGUAAGCCUGCGAAGGUGACCUGUGAGGGUUGCUGGAGGUAUCAGAAGUGCGAAUGCUGACAUAAGUAACGAUAAAGCGGGUGAAAAGCCCGCUCGCCGGAAGACCAAGGGUUCCUGUCCAACGUUAAUCGGGGCAGGGUGAGUCGACCCCUAAGGCGAGGCCGAAAGGCGUAGUCGAUGGGAAACAGGUUAAUAUUCCUGUACUUGGUGUUACUGCGAAGGGGGGACGGAGAAGGCUAUGUUAGCCGGGCGACGGUUGUCCCGGUUUAAGCAUGUAGGCUGAUUGUCCAGGCAAAUCCGGAUAAUCAAGGCUGAGGUGUGAUGACGAGGCACUACGGUGCUGAAGUAACAAAUGCCCUGCUUCCAGGAAAAGCCUCUAAGCAUCAGGUAACAUCAAAUCGUACCCCAAACCGACACAGGUGGUCAGGUAGAGAAUACCAAGGCGCUUGAGAGAACUCGGGUGAAGGAACUAGGCAAAAUGGUGCCGUAACUUCGGGAGAAGGCACGCUGGUGUGUAGGUGAAGUCCCUGCGGAUGGAGCUGAGACCAGUCGAAGAUACCAGCUGGCUGCAACUGUUUAUUAAAAACACAGCACUGUGCAAACACGAAAGUGGACGUAUACGGUGUGACGCCUGCCCGGUGCCGGAAGGUUAAUUGAUGGGGUUAUCCGUAAAGAGAAGCUCUUGAUCGAAGCCCCGGUAAACGGCGGCCGUAACUAUAACGGUCCUAAGGUAGCGAAAUUCCUUGUCGGGUAAGUUCCGACCUGCACGAAUGGCGUAAUGAUGGCCAGGCUGUCUCCACCCGAGACUCAGUGAAAUUGAACUCGCUGUGAAGAUGCAGUGUACCCGCGGCAAGACGGAAAGACCCCGUGAACCUUUACUAUAGCUUGACACUGAACAUUGAGCCUUGAUGUGUAGGAUAGGUGGGAGGCUUUGAAGCGUGGACGCCAGUCUGCGUGGAGCCAACCUUGAAAUACCACCCUUUAAUGUUUGAUGUUCUAACGUUGGCCCCUUACCGGGGUUGCGGACAGUGUCUGGUGGGUAGUUUGACUGGGGCGGUCUCCUCCCAAAGCGUAACGGAGGAGCACGAAGGUUAGCUAAUCCUGGUCGGACAUCAGGAGGUUAGUGCAAUGGCAUAAGCUAGCUUGACUGCGAGCGUGACGGCGCGAGCAGGUGCGAAAGCAGGUCAUAGUGAUCCGGUGGUUCUGAAUGGAAGGGCCAUCGCUCAACGGAUAAAAGGUACUCCGGGGAUAACAGGCUGAUACCGCCCAAGAGUUCAUAUCGACGGCGGUGUUUGGCACCUCGAUGUCGGCUCAUCACAUCCUGGGGCUGAAGUAGGUCCCAAGGGUAUGGCUGUUCGCCAUUUAAAGUGGUACGCGAGCUGGGUUUAGAACGUCGUGAGACAGUUCGGUCCCUAUCUGCCGUGGGCGCUGGAGAAUUGAGGGGGGCUGCUCCUAGUACGAGAGGACCGGAGUGGACGCAUCACUGGUGUUCGGGUUGUCAUGCCAAUGGCACUGCCCGGUAGCUAAAUGCGGAAGAGAUAAGUGCUGAAAGCAUCUAAGCACGAAACUUGCCCCGAGAUGAGUUCUCCCUGAGACUUUAAGUCUCCUGAAGGAACGUUGAAGACGACGACGUUGAUAGGCCGGGUGUGUAAGCGCAGCGAUGCGUUGAGCUAACCGGUACUAAUGAACCGUGAGGCUUAACCUUACAACGCCGAAG